UUAAAUUGAAGAGUUUGAUCAUGGCUCAGAUUGAACGCUGGCGGCAGGCCUAACACAUGCAAGUCGAACGGUAACAGAAAGCAGCUUGCUGCUUUGCUGACGAGUGGCGGACGGGUGAGUAAUGUCUGGGAAACUGCCUGAUGGAGGGGGAUAACUACUGGAAACGGUAGCUAAUACCGCAUAACGUCGCAAGACCAAAGAGGGGGACCUUCGGGCCUCUUGCCAUCGGAUGUGCCCAGAUGGGAUUAGCUAGUAGGUGGGGUAACGGCUCACCUAGGCGACGAUCCCUAGCUGGUCUGAGAGGAUGACCAGCCACACUGGAACUGAGACACGGUCCAGACUCCUACGGGAGGCAGCAGUGGGGAAUAUUGCACAAUGGGCGCAAGCCUGAUGCAGCCAUGCCGCGUGUAUGAAGAAGGCCUUCGGGUUGUAAAGUACUUUCAGCGGGGAGGAAGGGAGUAAAGUUAAUACCUUUGCUCAUUGACGUUACCCGCAGAAGAAGCACCGGCUAACUCCGUGCCAGCAGCCGCGGUAAUACGGAGGGUGCAAGCGUUAAUCGGAAUUACUGGGCGUAAAGCGCACGCAGGCGGUUUGUUAAGUCAGAUGUGAAAUCCCCGGGCUCAACCUGGGAACUGCAUCUGAUACUGGCAAGCUUGAGUCUCGUAGAGGGGGGUAGAAUUCCAGGUGUAGCGGUGAAAUGCGUAGAGAUCUGGAGGAAUACCGGUGGCGAAGGCGGCCCCCUGGACGAAGACUGACGCUCAGGUGCGAAAGCGUGGGGAGCAAACAGGAUUAGAUACCCUGGUAGUCCACGCCGUAAACGAUGUCGACUUGGAGGUUGUGCCCUUGAGGCGUGGCUUCCGGAGCUAACGCGUUAAGUCGACCGCCUGGGGAGUACGGCCGCAAGGUUAAAACUCAAAUGAAUUGACGGGGGCCCGCACAAGCGGUGGAGCAUGUGGUUUAAUUCGAUGCAACGCGAAGAACCUUACCUGGUCUUGACAUCCACGGAAGUUUUCAGAGAUGAGAAUGUGCCUUCGGGAACCGUGAGACAGGUGCUGCAUGGCUGUCGUCAGCUCGUGUUGUGAAAUGUUGGGUUAAGUCCCGCAACGAGCGCAACCCUUAUCCUUUGUUGCCAGCGGUCCGGCCGGGAACUCAAAGGAGACUGCCAGUGAUAAACUGGAGGAAGGUGGGGAUGACGUCAAGUCAUCAUGGCCCUUACGACCAGGGCUACACACGUGCUACAAUGGCGCAUACAAAGAGAAGCGACCUCGCGAGAGCAAGCGGACCUCAUAAAGUGCGUCGUAGUCCGGAUUGGAGUCUGCAACUCGACUCCAUGAAGUCGGAAUCGCUAGUAAUCGUGGAUCAGAAUGCCACGGUGAAUACGUUCCCGGGCCUUGUACACACCGCCCGUCACACCAUGGGAGUGGGUUGCAAAAGAAGUAGGUAGCUUAACCUUCGGGAGGGCGCUUACCACUUUGUGAUUCAUGACUGGGGUGAAGUCGUAACAAGGUAACCGUAGGGGAACCUGCGGUUGGAUCACCUCCUUACCUUAAAGAA
rnacentral:rRNA from 1 species